rnacentral:misc_RNA from 1 species
CCAUCUCAACAAGUUUCUGCACCUAUACCAAUCCAACACUAGCUUAUCAAGUCUUCUACUCCAACAUUAAAUAAUCCAUUCUAAAUCUAUGUAGAAGAAAAUACAAAGAUUGUCCCUGCUGUAAGUAUCUAAUUUUUAGAUUGGCACAACUGUCAUAUGUAUGCUGAAAAUAUUGUACAAUUAGGCUCCGUUUGCUUCAUAGAAAAAAAUUUGUAUAUGAAAAAUGUUUUCAAACAUAAGAAUAUUUUCCUUUAUUUGGUUGUAAUGUUAAACUAAUGGUAUGUAUUUAUUUGAUGUAUGUAUAAAUGUUUUCACAUUUUAAUAAAAUUAUCAAAAAAUGAAAAAUGACUUCCUCUUUUGAAAAAAUAAAUUUAUUUUCCUUAGGUUUCCCUUUGACCACUUGAGUGCUCCAAAUGCUAAAAAAUACAAAAAAUGUCUUCCAGAGAAAUUUUUUCCGUAAAAUAAACGGAGCCUUAGAAACGCAAUCACUUAUUAUAAGCAAGAGAGACACCAGGAGAGGGACCAAACAAACUGAUACUCUCAAUACCUUUUCCUCAACCCCAAGAGAU